rnacentral:misc_RNA from 1 species
UACGUAGGGGCCGAACGUUAUCCGGAAUUACUGGGCGUAAAGAGCGUGUAGGCGGUUCUCUAAGUCUAUGGUCAAAACCUGGGGCUUAACUCCAGAUCGGUCGUGGAAACUAGAGAACUUGAGGAACAAAGAGGUGGGCGGAAUUCCCGGUGUAGCGGUGAAAUGCGUAGAUAUCGGGAGGAACGUCAAUGGCGAAGGCAGCUCACUGGUUGUUUCCUGACGCUGAGACGCGAAAGCGUGGGGAGCGAACGGG